CUGACCUAUCAAAUAUGUAAGAGACUUGACAUAAAGGUGGACGAGGGGUUACUUAAAAUUCCAGCAAGCAGACCCCCACACGAUCGGUGUAAGGAAAUAUUCCGUACGUUGGGUUGGGAAUAUAUCGAGUAUGGUUGUCAGAGCAAGACAUCCACAAAAAAUCCUAGUAAAACAACCGCAGGGAAUACGGUUGUGAAGGAUCUAAAUAUGUCCGACAUCGACUUCAGGUAUGAAGGUUUUUGUAAGAGGAUGAAAAUAACAUACCUCAUGUUACCGGUAAAGGAUAGGAAUAGAAUCAUGGAAGACAUCAAAAAGGUGUACGACGCGGAGAAACCGAAAAUGAAAUCGCUUCCUAACCUCAAUAUCCUAACCUACCAAGCAUGCAAAAGACUUAGCAUAACAAUGGACAAAAAGCUGCUUAACAUUCCGGUAAGCAGAGCCCCACAUGAUCGAUGUAAGAAAGCAUUCCAGACGCUGGGCUGGGAAUACGUUAAAUAAUUUUAACGCUUUUUAUCAAGCAUUAAAAUUGGAAUAGUAAUUUAAGGACAAUGAUGACGAGAAGAAUUUCAACCGUUAUCGGGAUGAGUAGACAGAACACCAGACUCAUCCACGUUAGUCUCCGCAGUAUUUGAGUUUUCGUCAUUUAUUUUAACGUACUUUUUUACCGUUGCGCUGACGUAUCCGAUUUGGGUGUGAGCGUUGAUAGUGAGAUCACCGCGUUCUAUACCGAUUCCGAAACUAAACAUCUUUCUUUUCCGGUGGUUCCUGUCGUAUUUUGCUUCAUCAGUGGUCUCAGGUUUUGUGUGUAAACACCCCAUUUUAUUUAUUCUUCCUUUUAUUUUCCGUCGACUUUGGUUUUUCUUCCCUUGCAGCCCUUGCCGACGUCUCCGCUUUGCCUUUUUUGCACGACGUAAAGGUAAAGGAGGUAAAUCAGGUUGUUAGAUGCUUUCGGUACGCUUACCGUGUUAGGAUGUGAUACGGGUUCCUUGUCCUUACGCGGUAUAAGGUUUAGAUUUACCACAGGACUCUUUUUUAUCUCCUUAGGCUUUGAGUAGUUGACAUCCGUAUUACUACCAAACCUCAUGUCCUUUGUUGCUAGUGUGAGUGUAUUGUUUUACCCUGCUAUUUUUUCCCUGAGUAUAGUCAUAUUGGAUGGUAUUAAUAUUAAUCCGGGUGAUAUUGCCAUGCUAAGUACAACGUUAGUAUCCUUUAUUGCUUUCCUCAUAUUGGAGAUGGAUACCGAUACAUCGUCUUGUGCAACGGUGUCUUUGAAAAGUUUGUGAAAUACGUCCUGAGUUUGCAGGGACUUCGCCCCCUUACCAACGAUAGACCAACGUGUCUGUGCUUGCGCGCCUAAUACACAAUAGACAUAACUUUCGACAGAUUGCUGAAGUAGCUUUAAUCCCAGAGGUGUCAACCCGUCCGAUUUUUUGGCUAUGAAUUGGGUGUAGUCCGUAUCACUGUUGUUAGUGACCUUGUCCACUUCCUGAUAGCUAAUUCCCAUCACACCACCUGUAUGGUAGUAUGAGUAUCUAUAGUUUCUGACCCUACUCUUAUCCGGAAGUCUGCUAUGC
rnacentral:lncRNA from 1 species